GGGAAAAGAAUCCAAGAAAGUUAAGAAUUUAGUUUGACUUUUGUUCAUGGAAAUGAAGUUGGAUAGUGAUGAAGUCAUAGUACAGAUUCCUCCUGGUACUGACUUCAAAAAUUCCAUUUCUGACAACCACCCAAAUAUAGAGGAUGUUCAUUUACAUCAUCAUGACUCUGAUUCUGGCCUCAGAUCAAGGAGAAAAUUACCUGCAUCUACGUCACACUCACAUCAGCAGGUUGAGGAGCAGGACAAUGGCCAACUGAAGACAAAAUCUAGCUUCAUUGAACCAGCAAUUCCUAGUGAAAGUGAAACCGAGAAUUUUGAUAAAGAAAAUGCAGCUGCUGCUUCUUUUGAAACGUUAGAAAGCCCGAAAGCAGCCUCUCCUCCUGUCACACCUUUCAAGGCAUCACAAGGCGAAGCGAAUGAUGACUACAAUGAGGUGUAUGCUCGUGUUCGUAAACCAAAAAAACGUAUGAAAAUAAAGGUUCUGUUUAUUAUCGAGUUCAGUUUAUUUGUUUUCAUCACAUUGGUUUUAAUUCUAAGUGUAACUACGAAAAAACUGAGGAAUAAAAAGAUUUGGCGUUUAGAAUUAUGGAAAUGGUGUGGUUUAGGAUUAGCAAUUUUCUGUGGGCGUUUAUUUUCAGAGUGGUUAAUGAAUAUUAUAAUUUUCUUGAUUGAAUUUAGUUUCUCACUUAGAAAGCAUGUUCUGUAUUUUGCUAGAACCGCACGUAAGAGCUUUCAGGUUUUCAUUUGGUUAGGUUUGAUUCUAAUAACUUGGGUGCUUUUGAUUAAUCGAGGUGUCGAUAGAUCAAGAGAUACGGAAAAGGUGUUGGAUUAUAUAACGAGGGGGAUUGCCUCGACACUAGCUGUUGCUGGUGCGUGGAUACUUAGAACUAUAGUUGUAAGUUUUUUAUACGCUUCGUUUUAUGAGAAAAGAUUUUUCGAAAGGAUUCAGGAAAAUUUGUUCCAUCGAUACAUACUUCACACCCUUUCAGGGCCACCAGUGUUGGAAUCUUUAAUGUCUAUGGAGUUCAAUAAUAGUUCUCGAGUAGUGAGUGAGAAGGCAUUAAAAAACGUGGAGAUGAAACGUGAAAGGGUAUCUGCUUGGACAAUGAGUUUGUUAAUUGAAAUCGCAUCGAAGUCUGCUUUACCACUUCCUAAUACACUUGAUGAAAGUCAAGAUACGAUGAACCCGGAUGAGGAAAAUAACAGAGUUAUUACGAAUGAAUGGGAAGCUAAAGCUGCCAGUCAUCAUAUAUUUAAAAAUGUAGCUCGACCCGGGAGCAAGUACAUCGAAGAGGAAGAUCUUAGGCGUUUUAUGAUCAAAGAGGAGGCGGAUUUGACGUUUUCAUCCUUAGGAGGAGCAGAGGAAAGCGGAAGAAUUAACAAGAAGUCCUUUCAAAAUGGGGUGGUGAACAUGUAUAUGAAGAGCAAAUUUCUGGAGCAUUCUCUCAAUGACAUAAAGGAAGCCAUAAAGGAAUUAAACAAGUUUGUUACCGGGCUUUUGGUAGUAGUACUCGUGAUCCUUUGGGUAAUACUCAUGGGUAUUGUUAAAACCGAAGUGUUGCUUUUCAUCUCAUCUCAGUUCUUACUUGCUGUUUUCACAUUUGGGAGCUCUGCUAAGUCAACCUUGGAAUCCAUGCUGUUCGUUUUUGUAAAACACCCAUUUGACGUUGGUGAUCGUUGUGUCAUUGAUGGUGUCCAGGUUGUCGUAGAAGAAGUGAGCAUUUUGACCACCGUCUUCCUGAGAUAUGACAAUGAGAAAAUUUACUAUCCGAAUGCAAUAUUAGCUACAAAAUCUAUCAGCAAUUUUAACCGAAGUCCAGAUAUGAGGGAUAUUGUGGAGUUUGAUUUGGAUGUUUCCACUUCAGUUGAGAACAUUUCAGCUCUAAAAGCUAAAAUUAAAAUGUACAUGGAUAGCAAGCCUCACUUAUGGCGACCAAAGCACAGCGUUCGGGUUAGAGAGAUCGAAGAUGCGAACAAGAUGAAAAUGAGACUGUACGUAACUCAUACGAUAAACUUUCAAGAUUACGAAGAGAAAAGUGAUAGAAGAUCAAACUUGGUGCUGGAGUUGAGGAGCAUCUUCCAACAACUUGGAAUCAAGUAUCAUAUUCUUCCCCCAACAAGUUCUGAUUAGCAGGUCAAUGUGGCCCUGUCAUUCCCGAAGCCAAAACAAAGAAUCACUGAAUGAGAAAUACCAAGCACUUGGAAGAUAGUGAAUGAUGAAGUGAGUACAUCCACUACUCGCCCCUCCGCUAGCACCGACAGUAGAGGAUGAUGACGAUGAUAUAUAUAUAUAGCAAAGAAGUUAUGACUAAAGCUAAACGACAGGAAAACUAUGUAUCAACUUAUGGCUACAAACCUUGGAGAGUGACAAGGUCUCAUCCACUGAAUUUCAUAAGGUGAUAUUUGGGAGCCUACUCCUCCCAAAUCUUCUGAUGGAUUGCCCUCGGCAGUGAAGGAAAUCAAAUUACUAGAAUUUUAUGUAUUCGAUUGUCAAAGUUGGAUUUGGAAAGCGAAGAUGUAUCUUGACAUCAGCGGUACCCCUUCUAAUUUACAGCUCAACUUAGUAUGACUGGUGUUGCAUAAAACUGAUUUACGAUUAUUAUACAAGUCCAUGAGUCAUUAACUUGGUUCAAUUUCAACUGGAGUUGUUUGUGUGCUGGAAAUCCAGAAUUCUUAUCAUCAAUUGGCAACAAUAAAUAAAACAAACUUCAUUGA